AAGGCGACGUGAACUCGGAGUCAGAGGACGUAAAACUUUAUUAAUUUCUUAUAAAAAUGUCACAAAAAUUCUUAGAAAUUCCAACAGGUCCUUUGGGUUUAUCCACAGGGAGAUCAGGCCUGUUUCACAGACAACGGGGAACGAAGCGAGCGCACUAUUGCAUCAUUAUUCAAUCCUCCCAGUUUGAUCAGCUGCUGCGACCUGUACACGAAUCCACCAGCAGAGGACAUGCUGCCUCCGUUGAACUCCUCCUUCCCUCUACCUACAUCCCUGACUCCUCCUUGCUCUCCUCCGUUUACUCCCUUUACUCCCCCAUCCUGCUUUCCCCCCCAUUUUUUUUAAAUUCCCUCCCCAUUCUGACCCUUCGUGUCCCUAAGCUCUCCUUCUCUGAUUGGUUCCAGACGUGCCACUGAGCUCUUCUUGCCGACUCAACAUUCCACAGCUGGAGACCGCGUACGCACAUCUCACACACGCACACACACACGCACUCACACCUCCUCCCUUCCCCCUCAAUCUUGUUUUUUUUUUUCCUCCCUUUUUUUCACAGCAGCUUAGUGAAACACCAAAAGCCUCAGACUGAAAUGGCUCCAAAGCAUUCCUGCAAGCAGAGAGAGGGAGAGAAAUGCACUCAGAGACAAGAGCAGGAGAAGGAGGUUACAUUUUUGAAAUCUUAACAAGAUGUCAAAAACACACUACAGAUGGUAGGUUUCUGAAUUUGGUUUUAAAAACUCUUUGGCACUGAAAUAUGUAUAUACACGAUUGAAGAUGUUUUCUUUUGCGGCCGGUCAAAGAGUUCAAGUGUUGGCAAUCUCUGCAGGACAAGUAAAGCUGCUUCCAGGUAAGAAAAAAAAAAAAAGCAUCUUCAAAGCAAAAACCGAGCUGAUGCAACAAACAGAAACGUGAUGAAACACGAAGCAUUAGACCGCUUUGAAAUGACAAACCUCUUUUUAUAACACAAUGACUGCGCUCAAAUAAAAAACAAAAAAAACUGCCGAAUCAGCUCCAGAUGGAGGCACAAAGAGCCAAGGCAAACAAAAGUCAAGAGUCACAGAGCAGAAACUGCACGCCACAAAAUUAAUUUCAGGCCUUGAUGGCUCCAAAUUCUUAUCACGCAUCAAAACAACCCCCCCGGGUGUGUGCUGCACUAAAAAAAGACAAUGUAGUCCAUUUAAAGAGCAGCUUUCAAUGCAAAGUCCUACUUAUGUGCACAAUUAUAGUGUUCGCCCUCAGACGCUUCGAGGUCAGCAGCCCUUUUUUCUUUUUUUUUUUUAACACUUUUAGCAUGUUCACAUCUGGACUUCUUUUCUUCCUCCUGCGCCUGACAGCCUUUGCUGACGUGUCAGGUCGGAGAAGAGGGAGAGAGGCAGGCUCAUGAAAACCACACACACGCAUCACGGCUUACGCUUCUCUACAGCUGCACACAUAACGACAAAUCCAAUGAAACAAAUGGAAAAAAAACAAAACAAAAAUGCAUUCAAGUCUGGGUUAAUACUGACAUGACAACACAAAAGAAAUCUUACAGAGGAAUGUGGUCGACAAUGGAAACAAAGUGGAUUUUAGUCUUUUCGGUCCGAGUAGGAGCAAGACUGGAAAACUCUGUGUGGUAAAAUUGACUUUGGAAACAGGCAAGAAGUUAUUUCAUCAGACUGGUUUUGCAAUCAGUUGCAAUAAACCUGUUCACAGUCGAUCAAUUGUGAACUGCCUACGCAUUUUAGAAAAAGCAGAUGGAUGUAUCUGAUUUGUAGCUUUUUUUUUUUUUUAAAUUGUGAUAUUCAGUUUAAAAAUGGAAACAUCUGCUGUGCUCCACACAGCUUCUCGGCAUU